rnacentral:rRNA from 1 species
UACGAAGGGGGCGAGCGUUGUUCGGAUUUACUGGGCGUAAAGGGCGCGCAGGCGGCUUUGUUUGUCAGGCGUGAAAGCCCCGGGCUUAACCUGGGAACUGCGUUUGAUACGGCAGGGCUAGAGUUCGGGAGAGGAGAGUGGAAUUCCCAGUGUAGAGGUGAAAUUCGUAGAUAUUGGGAAGAACACCGGUGGCGAAGGCGGCUCUCUGGACCGAUACUGACGCUGAGGCGCGAAAGCGUGGGGAUCAAACAGG